rnacentral:rRNA from 1 species
GACGAACGCUGGCGGCGUGCUUAACACAUGCAAGUCGAACGGAAAGGCCCUGCUUUUGUGGGGUGCUCGAGUGGCGAACGGGUGAGUAACACGUGAGUAACCUGCCCUUGACUUUGGGAUAACUUCAGGAAACUGGGGCUAAUACCGGAUAGGAGCUCCUGCUGCAUGGUGGGGGUUGGAAAGUUUCGGCGGUUGGGGAUGGACUCGCGGCUUAUCGGCUUGUUGGUGGGGUAGUGGCUUACCAAGGCUUUGACGGGUAGCCGGCCUGAGAGGGUGACCGGCCACAUUGGGACUGAGAUACGGCCCAGACUCCUACGGGAGGCAGCAGUGGGGAAUAUUGCACAAUGGGCGGAAGCCUGAUGCAGCAACGCCGCGUGCGGGAUGACGGCCUUCGGGUUGUAAACCGCUUUCGCCUGUGACGAAACGUGAGUGACGGUAAUGGGUAAAGAAGCACCGGCUAACUACGUG